GACGAACGCUGGCGGCGUGCCUAAUACAUGCGAGUCGAGCGAAUCAAUAGGAGCUUGCUCCUGUUGGUUAGCGGCGGACGGGUGAGUAACACGUGGGCAACCUGCCUGUAAGACUGGGAUAACACCGGGAAACCGGUGCUAAUACCGGAUAAUCCUUUUCCUCUCAUGAGGAAAAGCUGAAAGUCGGUUUCGGCUGACACUUACAGAUGGGCCCGCGGCGCAUUAGCUAGUCUGUGAGGUAAUGGCUCACCAAGGCGACGAGGCGUAGCCGACCUGAGAGGGUGAUCGGCCACACUGGGACUGAGACACGGCCCAGACUCCUACGGGAGGCAGCAGUAGGGAAUCUUCCACAAUGGACGAAAGUCCGAUGGAGCAACGCCGCGUGAGCGAUGAAGGCCUUCGGGACGUAAAGCUCUGUUGUUAGGGAAGAACAAGUACCGGAGUAACUGCCGGUACCUUGACGGUACCUAACCAGAAAGCCACGGCUAACUACGUGCCAGCAGCCGCCGUAACAC
rnacentral:rRNA from 1 species